UGAACGCUUUUGGAUAGAUACCAAACAGGCUUUUCUGUUUUCGUCUAGUAAACUAGGUUAUUUUUAAUGAAAUGUACAGGCAAACACCAAGGUCCAAGUAGAACAACAUAUACUUGAAAGAAUAUUUGCAAACAACUUCUACAGAUCCCAAAUGAAUCCACCUGCAGUCAGCGUAGGAAAAGUGAGGAGGUAUCGACAUCUUCAGUCCCGAACAUCCAAACACAAAAUCAAAGAGCAAUACAAGGGCACGUAAAAUAGAAAUUUCAAAUGCAAACGGAAACGGAAACCCAGCAGAUGCAUAUGAAAGUACUUCUAUUCAGUACGAAAAUCCAAAACCAAAAUUAAACUCUUCCCUGUUCAGUGCAGGAUGAGAUCACAAGCAUCAUUCAGAAUUCAGAAACCCCCCACGGAGGCGAAGGACAAGGUGAAGGGUAGACUCCUUUUGGAUGUUGUAAUCCGCAAGAGUCCUUCCUUCCUCCAGCUGCUUACUGGCAAAGACGAUGAGUCUCUGCUGGUCCGGAGGAAUGCCCUCCUUGUCCUGGAUCUUUGCUUUCACAUUAUCAAUGGUAUCGGAACUCUCUACCUCCAACGUUAUCAUCUUCCCAGUCAAUUGCAAGUAAACAAAUUACUUAUAUUACACUCACAAAAUAUUACAACUUAACAACAACUCUCAAGAACACAACUUAGAAGCUAUGACACUCUUUCUGUAGACACACUCUAGACCACUCACACUCUUCACAAGACCACCCUCACUUCUAAGUUAUUUUCUUGCUUCUCUUCUUGGCUACUUGGUUGUAUUACAACACUCAUGGCCAUGAUCAUGCACACACCCUUCCACCGACUUAAGAAACAACCUUCCAGUCCUUUCUUUCUACAAAGGACUACUUAGCUUAGAUAAUUCUAUAUUUCAUGUUUCUUCACGGAUCACCUUCCAUGCAUAUUUGAACUAGAAAAAUCUAAUUUAAUUGUAUCACAAUUUUCAACUUCCAGAGUGAUGGUCUUCCCGGUCAAGGUCUUCACGAAGAUUUGCAUACCACCACGCAGUCGAAGCACCAAGUGGAGAGUCGAUUCCUUUUGAAUGUUAUAAUCGGCAAGCGUGAGACCAUCCCCAAGCUCAAGCUGCUUACAAGCGAAGAUGAGCCUCUGCUGGUCUGGGGAAAUACCCUCCUUGUCCUGGAUCUUUGCCUUCACAUUAUCAAUGGUAUCCGAGCUUUCAACUUCCAAGGUGAUGGUCUUUCCUGUAAGCAUCUUGACAAAGAUUUGCAUGCCACCACGGAGACGAAGCACCAGGUGGAGAGUGGACUCCUUCUGGAUGUUGUAGUCAGCGAGUGUGCGGCCGUCUUCAAGCUGCUUGCCAGCAAAGAUGAGCCUCUGUUGGUCUGGGGGAAUGCCUUCCUUGUCUUGAAUCUUGGCUUUGACAUUAUCAAUUGUGUCAGAGCUUUCAACCUCGAGGGUGAUGGUCUUGCCUGUGAGGGUUUUCACAAAGAUCUGCAUCUGUUCACAUAAAACAUCCGUAGGGAAUGCUUCAGAAGUUGAAGAUUCUCAAAUCACAUCAGCUUUAGCUUCUUAAUAUAAAUUAUUUAAGACGGAUUGAAGAUUCUAAAGAGCUUCGUUCAACUUUGAUACUAGUAUACUAACAAUUUGAUCCACUACUAAACAACUGAGUGAAAACACAGAGACAUAAAAGCAAUCAAAAAUACAAACCAAAACCAAAAAUACCAUCCGAGAUAUUUCUACAUCUAAAUCAACACAAAAUCCAGGUGGUUGUAGAGUCAGAACAGAUUAGCCUUAAAUUUUAACAAAAUCUCAGACAUCCAAGGAAGGAUAAAGCAGCACUAGCUCUCAAGCCCGGCGAAAGGCGAAAGCUCUUAGGCGGCCACUGCGAAUUUUCUUGAGAAACAAGCCUUGGAUUUCGCCAUCAUCGAUAAUAUAUAUAUGAAAAAACACAAUUUAAUUCAAGAUAACAGAAUACGAACCUUGGAAGCGAAAUCGAGAGAGAAGUUUGAAGAGGUUGAAGGAAUUGGCGUGCGUCUGAUUUUUCUCUGAAUUCUGAACGAUGGAGAGGUUGAGGACCGGGGCAGUCGUGUUUUUAUAGAGCGAUUACCGACUGAGAUUCCCAGAGUGUUUCAAGGGAUUAAUAAUUUCAGGGUAUUCAGCUAGAAAUUUAAAAGAUUUUAUAAAAGUUUAAGUGUGUUUAAUUGAGAAUUAUCAAUACUUUUUAAAAGUCUCAAGAAAUUAGGGAAUCCUUUGAGGACUAAUCGAAUGGAACACCGCCACGUGUUGGGAUAAUUCUUGCACGCCAAGAUUAGUCAAAUAGUAUCCCUUUACUUGGCAAAAGUAAUUAACAAACAAAAUAAUUUACGUAAAAAGCAAUAAAAAUAUUUUUUUUUUACUUUUUCCUACUUUUGCAUUUUGAGAUUUGUUUUUAUUUUGUUGUAAAUAUGGUGGAUGUCCACUCAAAGGAAUCAAGUCAUGGUUGUCAAUGAAACUGUUUUCAGUGCUUGACAGCCAUUGGUCACCAUGACUAUCCAACUAGUUGGUAUUUGCCUAUAAAGUGGAUUGUUGAAGAUGAGAGCAAAUGUGCACACAAAAACUCAAGCCACACGGCUGAGAAGAGAGAAAAGAUAGAAGGAAGAAGAGAGGAAGAAGAGAGAAGCCACAAGGCUCACGACAGUGAGAAGAAAGAGAAAUGAGAUAAUAGAAAGAGUUAUCUUUGUAAUCUUAUUAUUUCAGAUUAUAAAUAAAAGCACCGAUGCUGCCCCGAGGACGGACAUACUCCAAUCAUAUUGACUGUAGAAGAACUUCGUGGAUUUUGUGCCUUGUUUAUUUAUUCCACUACACACCGUCGAUUUUACAACAUAUUUUUUAUUUUUGUAAUUAGCUGUUAGCAAGGAGGAAAAUUAGUGAAGAUUAAAUCCGUACCAAAGUGCAUAAACAUAAUUACUUUCCGACACUACGCAAAGCGCCAUCUCCAAGAAUUUAAUCUUUCUUUAAAUUUUAGUCGGAUAGAUUUUUUUAGUAAUACACAACGUUUUCAUCUACUAAACUACGUUAUUUUUAAUGAAAUGUACAAAGCAAACACCAAGGUCCAAGUAGAACAACAGACACUUGAAAGAAUAUUAGCAAACAGCUUCUGCAGAUCCCAAAUGAAUCCAUCUGCAGUCACGUAGGAAAAGUGAAGAGGUAUCGACAUCUUCAGUCCCGAACAUCCAAACACAAGAUCGAAGAGCAAUACAAAGGCACGUAAAAUAGAAAUUUCAAAUGCAAACGGAAACGGAAACCCAGCAGAUGCAUAUAAAACUACUUUUAUUCAUUAACUACAUAGUAUUAGGGUGACCCAUCCAUUGGUCAAAGUUGGAGUACCAAAAUCCAAAACCAAAAUUAAACUCUUCCCUGUUCAGUGCAGGAUGAGAUCACAAGCAUCAUUCAGAAUUCAGAAACCACCUCGGAGGCGAAGGACAAGGUGAAGGGUAGACUCCUUUUGGAUGUUGUAAUCCGCAAGAGUCCUUCCGUCCUCCAGCUGCUUACCGGCAAAGAUGAGUGCUGGUCCGGAGGAAUGCCCUCCUUGUCCUGGAUCUUUGCUUUCAC
rnacentral:lncRNA from 1 species